UGAAUACGAGACGCUAAGGCGUCGAAGUAGUGUAUGUCAUGCUUCCAAGGAAAGCUUGCACUGUCAUAGAUAAAAAACGCCUGUACCAUAACCGACACAGGUGGGUAGGUAGAGCAUACUAAGGGGCGCGAGAUAACUCUCUCUAAGGAACUCGGCAAAAUAACUCCGUAACUUCGGGAGAAGGAGUGCCUUAUUCGUAAGGUUGCAAUAACAAGAUCCAAGCAACUGUUUAUCAAAAACACAGGUCUCCGCUAAGUCGUAAGACGAUGUAUGGGGGCUGACGCCUGCCCAGUGCCAGAAGGUUAAAGAAGUUGGUUAGCAAUUGCGAAGCUGAUAACUGAAGCCCUGGUGAACGGCGGUCGUAACAAUAACGGUCCUAAGGUAGCGAAAUUCCUUGUCGGGUAAGUUCCGACCCGCACGAAAGGCGUAAUGAUUUGGAUACUGUCUCGGAGAGGGGCUCGGUGAAAUAGACUUGUCUGUGAAGAUGCGGACUACCUGCACCAGGACAGAAAGACCCUAUGAAGCUUUACUGUAGCUUGAAAUUGAAAUUGGACUUUAUUCGCGCAGUAUAGGUGGGAGGCGUUGAUUAUAAUCUUGUGGGAUUAUUGGAGCCAUCAGUGAGAUACCACUCUUGUAAUGUUAGAUUUCUAACUUUGAAUCAUUAUCUGGUCAAUGAACAGUUUCAGGCGGGCAGUUUGACUGGGGUGGUCGCCUCCUAAACGGUAACGGAGGCGUACAAAGGUUUCCUCUGAACGGUUAGAAAUCGUAUCUAGAGUGUAAAGGCAUAAGGAAGCUUGACUGUGAGACCUACAAGUCGAGCAGGGACGAAAGUCGGUCUUAGUGAUCUGACGGUACUGAGUGGAAAGGCCGUCACUCAACGGAUAAAAGUUACUCUAGGAUAACAGGCUGAUCUCCCCCAAGAGUUCACAUCGACGGGGAGGUUUGGCACCUCGAUGUCGGCUCAUCGCAUCCUGGGGCGGUAGUACGUCCCAAGGGUUGGGCUGUUCGCCCAUGAAAGCGGUACGCGAGCUGGGUUCAGAACGUCGUGAGACAGUUCGGUCCAUAUCCGGUGUAGGCGUUAGAAUAUUGAGAGGAGCCUUCUUUAGUACGAGAGGACCGAGAAGGACAUACCUCUGGUGUACCAGUUAUCGUGCCAACGGUAAACGCUGGGUAGCUAUGUAUGGAGUGGAUAACCGCUGAAAGCAUCUAAGUGGGAAGCCCACCUCAAGAUAAGUAUUCUCA
rnacentral:rRNA from 1 species